GAGGGCCMACGGYWACUACGUGUCAGCMGCSCGGUAUACGUAGGKGCCAGCGUGUCCGAAUWUGGSGUAAAGGGCUCGCAGGCGUUUCUAAGUCUGAUGUGAAAGCCCCCGGCUCAACCGGGGAGGGUCAUUGGAAACUGGGAAACUUGAGUGCAGAAGAGGAGAGUGGAAUUCCACGUGUAGCGGUGAAAUGCGUAGAGAUGUGGAGGAACACCAGUGGCGAAGGCGACUCUCUGGUCUGUAACUGACGCUGAGGAGCGAAAGCGUGGGGAGCGAACAGGAUUAGAUACCCUGGUAGUCCACGCCGUAAACGAUGAGUGCUAAGUGUUAGGGGGUUUCCGCCCCUUAGUGCUGCAGCUAACGCAUUAAGCACUCCGCCUGGGGAGUACGGUCGCAAGACUGAAACUCAAAGGAAUUGACGGGGGCCCGCACAAGCGGUGGAGCAUGUGGUUUAAUUCGAAGCAACGCGAAGAACCUUACCAGGUCUUGACAUCCUCUGACAACCCUAGAGAUAGGGCUUUCCCUUCGGGGACAGAGUGACAGGUGGUGCAUGGUUGUCGUCAGCUCGUGUCGUGAGAUGUUGGGUUAAGUCCCGCAACGAGCGCAACCCUUGAUCUUAGUUGCCAGCAUUCAGUUGGGCACUCUAAGGUGACUGCCGGUGACAAACCGGAGGAAGGUGGGGAUGACGUCAAAUCAUCAUGCCCCUUAUGACCUGGGCUACACACGUGCUACAAUGGACAGAACAAAGGGCUGCGAGACCGCAAGGUUUAGCCAAUCCCACAAAUCUGUUCUCAGUUCGGAUCGCAGUCUGCAACUCGACUGCGUGAAGCUGGAAUCGCUAGUAAUCGCGGAUCAGCAUGCCSYGGUGAAUACGUUCCCGGGCCUUGUACACACCGCCCGUCWCACCRCGAGAGUUUGCAACACCCGAAGUCGGUGAGGUAACCKKUAUKGAUCCCWKGCYCCGSYYA
rnacentral:rRNA from 1 species